rnacentral:rRNA from 1 species
UAGGGGAGGCAGCAGUGGGGAAUAUUGCACAAUGGGCGCAAGCCUGAUGCAGCCAUGCCGCGUGUAUGAAGAAGGCCUUCGGGUUGUAAAGUACUUUCAGUCGUGAGGAAGGUGUUAAGGUUAAUAACCUUAGCAAUUGACGUUAGCGACAGAAGAAGCACCGGCUAACUCCGUGCCAGCAGCCGCGGUAAUACGGAGGGUGCGAGCGUUAAUCGGAAUUACUGGGCGUAAAGGGCACGCAGGCGGUUAAUUAAGUUGGAUGUGAAAUCCCCGGGCUUAACCUGGGAAUGGCAUUCAAGACUGGUUAGCUAGAGUCUUGUAGAGGGGGUAGAAUUCCAUGUGUAGCGGUGAAAUGCGUAGAGAUGUGGAGGAAUACCGGUGGCGAAGGCGGCCCCUGGACAAAGACUGACGCUCAUGUGCGAAAGCGUGGGGAGCAAACAGGGAUUAGAUACC